CCGUGGUUAUUUGCAAUAAAAAAAUACAGACCUUAAAAAUAUAAUUUUUAAAGGUAAGGAACUAAAUUGAAUUUUUAAAAUAAAUGCAGGGGUUAAAUUACAAUUUUCCAGAACUUAAUUAAAAUCCUAAACCUAUCCCCUAAUUUAUUUCCUCGUCUACUCUUCUUCCUCUCCAAAAUUUCUGGAAAUUUCUGGACCUGAACGGCAAGGAUUUAGGAAGGUCGAGGAGAGAGAGGGGUUGAGUAAUGUUUGUGGUUGUGGGCGGUUGAAUUGGGGUGGUUGUGGGCGGCGGAUUUGCAGAAGGCCGUGCUCCGUUUGUAUCGGUACUCUGAGAAAUUGUCCCGGUCGGACGGCGGACAGGUGAAGCGGAGGUGGUAGCUGAGUUGGGCAACGCUGAGUUGGGCAGCGCAGGGGAAGUGACGAGGCGGGCGGCGAAGCGGAGGUGGUGGCUGAGUUGGGCGGCGCGGGGAAGUGACGAGGCGGGCGGUGAAGCGGAGGUGGUGGCUGAGUUGGACGGCGCGGGGAAGUGACGAGGUGGGCGGCGAAGCGGAGGUGGUGGCUGAGUUUGGCGGCGAAGUGGAGGUGGUGGCUGAGUUGGGCGGCUAGUUCGGAGUUUUUUGAGUUGUCCGGCAAUGGUGAUUUUAGGUGUGGUGUAGGAGAGGGCUUUUUUGAAAGUGCAAA
rnacentral:lncRNA from 1 species